rnacentral:rRNA from 1 species
GAUGAACGCUAGCGGCAGGCCUAACACAUGCAAGUCGAGGGAGGAGCUUUCGGGCUUCGACCGGCGUACGGGUGCGUAACGCGUAUACAAUCUGCCUUUCACAUAGGGAUAGCCCGAAGAAAUUUGGAUUAAUACCUAAUGGUAUAUAGGAGUGGCAUCACCUUUAUAUUAAAGCUGAGGCGGUGAAAGAUGAGUAUGCGUUCUAUUAGCUAGUUGGAGAGGUAACGGCUCCCCAAGGCGACGAUAGAUAGGGGUUCUGAGAGGGAUAUCCCCCACACUGGUACUGAGAUACGGACCAGACUCCUACGGGAGGCAGCAGUGAGGAAUAUUGGACAAUGGUCGGAAGACUGAUCCAGCCAUGCCGCGUGCAGGAAGACGGCCUUAUGGGUUGUAAACUGCUUUUGCAGGGGAAGAAUAAGGAGUACGUGUACUUUGAUGACGGUACUCUGCGAAUAAGCAUCGGCUAACUCCGUG